CCAACUUCCAUCAGCGAGCCGUCUUCUGAAGAGCAGCCAGGACCUCCAUUUAACCAAAGAAUCUUUUAUCAAAUUAGUAAUUUGUAUAAUAUAUAAUUUAAUUUAAAAACAUUCACUUGAAAUACUUACAGAACGAUGUUCGUAUUCGGGUUUUACGGAUUCAAACAUCCAGAAAAACAAAUCACCAUCCAGCUGAUCCGUUUGAUUUAAGUGUCCAGCAUGCAUUCUUCCCUCAUAAUCAACAGGCUCAUUAGGAAAUGCUUUUACAAGAUAUUGUUCAUGAAUUCUAGAAUCAGCAAGUGUGUUGCCAAUAACACCUGCAGUUAAAAGGACUAUUUUCAGUAACUUCGAAAUCAUGCUCUCACAA